UUACAAUUUGAUGUUUGCCCUAUACCUUAGAAGCAUUUUGCCAGGAAAAGGGAGUUUCCAUUGCACAAAAUGGGAUGGUAAGACAGAGAUUUCAGGAAAAAACAUGGGUGAAUAUAUUGAAACCAUGCCCCCUCUCAAGGUACACUCCAUGAAACAACAUACUCCAGCUUGCAUACAUUUAAAGGUGUAGGAAAAAAAUAUUGGCUUCUGGAGAACAGUAAAAAUUGUGGGAAUUGGACUAUUUGUCACAUGCAUGGACCCUGGGUUUAUACAUUUCAGGAAGAAGAAUAUCCCUCAUCCACGGUCUUUAGAUCUUUGGCUGUUAACAAAGAUGUUCUAUCCAUUUCAAGGCCUGAUACAACUCUCCCUCUCCUCAGCAACUGAGUUGUAAUGAAGCAGUGAGAACUCUGAAGCUCUGGAAGGAGAGUGAGCGAAUGGGUGUUCCUGGCUCAAAAGUGAGUCUCUGGAAAAGCCACUGCAGAACCUGGUCAGUCUGGUAGAGGUAGUUAGCAAGUAAGCUAUGGCAUUUCCCACUGACAUCACCGGUAGUGUCUUCCCUGGAAAUUCUCUUGUAUCCAGGAGACACUAGAAUGUUCUGUGAUGUCACCAGUGUUGUGGUGACACCAACUGCCUGAGCGAUUUCCCUUCAUUUCCUAAUGGGUUCCCGAGGAGGCAUGUUCUCCAGGAUCCUCAGUCUCUUUCGGAGGGACAAUCAUAUCCAUACAGGCACCAGACCGAGGCAGAGGGAGGCCAGCCCUCCAUCACGUUGGAGAAGAAGACGAAUGGAAAGGUCCUUGAGGAGGUCAAAGUCUGAUCAGAAGGCAUCAUCCCAACCCUCCAUGACACCUGUUGAGGAGGAGAGAAUGAAGCGUCUGGAGAACAUCAAAAUUGCUCUCCAGAAGAUGCAGAAGGAGAGAGAUGAACUCAGGAGAAUCCUGGCGGAUUAC